GACGAACGCUGGCGGCAUGCCUUACACAUGCAAGUCGAACGGCAACACGGGUGCUUGCACCUGGUGGCGAGUGGCGAACGGGUGAGUGAUACAUCGGAACGUACCUUAUCGUGGGGGAUAACGCAGCGAAAGCUGUGCUAAGACCGCAUACGCCCUGAGGGGGAAAGCGGGGGAUCGAAAGACCUCGCGCGAUUAGAGCGGCCGAUGCCUGAUUAGCUUGUUGGUGGGGUAAAAGCCCACCAAGGCGACGAUCAGUAGCUGGUCUGAGAGGACGAGCAGCCACACUGGGACUGAGAAACGGCCCAGAAUCCUACGGGAGGCAGCAGUGGGGAAUUUUGGACAAUGGGGGCAACCCUGAUCCAGCAAUGCCGCGUGAGGGAAGAAGGCCUUCGGGUUGUAAAGCUCUUUUGUCAGGGAAGAAACACCGGCUCUAACACAGUCCGGUAAUGACGGUACCUGAAGAAUAAGCACCGGCUAACUACGUGCCAGCAGCCGCAGUAA
rnacentral:rRNA from 1 species